rnacentral:rRNA from 1 species
CACCGGCGGCUCGAGUGGUAACCGUUAUUAUUGGGUCUAAAGGGUCUGUAGCCGGCCGGAUAAGUCUCUUGAGAAAUCUGGCAGCUUAACUGUCAGGCUUUCAGGAGAUACUGUCUGGCUCGAGGCCGGGAGAGGUGAGAGGUACCUUGGGGGUAGGGGUGAAAUCUUGUAAUCCCUGUGGGACCACCAGUGGCGAAGGCGUCUCACCAGAACGGACCUGACGGCAAGGGACGAAAGCUAGGGGCACGAACAGG